rnacentral:rRNA from 1 species
UACAGAGGGUGCGAGCGUUGUUCGGAAUUACUGGGCGUAAAGCGCGCGCAGGCGGCCUUUUAAGUCUGACGGUGAAAUGCCGGGGCUCAACCCCGUGCCCGCCGGAGAUACUGGGAGGCUGGAGACGAGUAGAGGCAAGCGGAAUUCCGGGUGUAGCGGUGGAAUGCGUAGAGAUCCGGAAGAACACCGGAGGCGAAGGCGGCUUGCUGGGCUCGGUCUGACGCUGAGGCGCGAAAGCGUGGGGAGCAAACAGG